rnacentral:piRNA from 1 species
AAGAAUAUGGUCAGCUACAAGU